GACGAACGCUGGCGGCGUGCCUAAUACAUGCAAGUAGAACGCUGAAGGAGGAGCUUGCUUCUCUGGAUGAGUUGCGAACGGGUGAGUAACGCGUAGGUAACCUGCCUGGUAGCGGGGGAUAACUAUUGGAGACGAUAGCUAAUACCGCAUAAGAGUAGAUGUUGCAUGACAUUUGCUUAAAAGGUGCAAUUGCAUCACUACCAGAUGGACCUGCGUUGUAUUAGCUAGUUGGUGAGGUAACGGCUCACCAAGGCAACGAUACAUAGCCGACCUGAGAGGGUGAUCGGCCACACUGGGACUGAGACACGGCCCAGACUCCUACGGGAGGCAGCAGUAGGGAAUCUUCGGCAAUGGACGGAAGUCUGACCGAGCAACGCCGCGUGAGUGAAGAAGGUUUUCGGAUCGUAAAGCUCUGUUGUAAAGAGAAAGAAACGAGUGUGAGAGUGGAAA
rnacentral:rRNA from 1 species